CUGGUGUGAUCAGAGCCGGAGUCUCUCAGACCAUAGACUCAGGUUUAUACCACACCACAGAGCAAACUGGAGAGAGCAAACCAGUACAGACCAGUGCAGCUGUAACUGGAACCAGCACUAACUCUCCAAACAA